UUUGGACGGAGUGAGCUGUGGGCGGACGCGCGGCAUUUCUUCGCCGGACUCGAGCGUACUCGGGCCGGCCACGUGUGGGUGCGCGUGUGUUUUGUGUGCGCGGACGCAGCCGAGUGGGCGCUCGCAGUUUUUGGAGAGGACGCCGAGCACACGCACAUCAGGAGAAUGGAGUCCACCGGCGCCGCGUGCUGAUCCCCGUGCCGAGGGAGGACGGCGCGUACGCCGAGCGACUGUGGUGCGGCGGAGCGCGAACACGCCUGCAGCUGCCAGCACGCCGUCGAUAGAAGUCGUCAUCCACUAGCAAGGUGAGCCGCACCAGCCGCCCAGAGAACAACAGCCGCCGCAGCACAGCGGAGCGGUGAGUGGCGAAGGGUGCUGACUGCCGCAGUCUCCAAGUGUUACCAGCGAUCUGCUGCAAAAC